rnacentral:rRNA from 1 species
CCCUACGGGGCGCAGCAGUGAGGAAUAUUGGUCAAUGGGCGAGAGCCUGAACCAGCCAAGUCGCGUGAGGGAGUACUGCCCUAUGGGUUGUAAACCUCUUUUGUCGGGGAGCAAAAGCCGGACGUGUCCGGCCGUGAGAGUACCCGAAGAAAAAGCAUCGGCUAACUCCGUGCCAGCAGCCGCGGUAAUACGGAGGAUGCGAGCGUUAUCCGGAUUUAUUGGGUUUAAAGGGUGCGCAGGCGGAUUUUUAAGUCAGCGGUCAAAUCGUGGGGCUCAACCCCAUCCAGCCGUUGAAACUGGGGAUCUAGAGUGUGCGAGAGGUAUGCGGAAUGCGUGGUGUAGCGGUGAAAUGCAUAGAUAUCACGCAGAACCCCGAUUGCGAAGGCAGCAUACCGGUGCACAACUGACGCUCAGGCACGAAAGCGUGGGUAUCGAACAGGAUUAGAUACCCGAGUAGUC